UAAGACAGAGGCCUCAAGCGUUAGGCGGAAUCACUGGGCUUAAAGCGUGUGUAGGCGGAUCGUUAAGUGUCUUGUGAAAUCCCACGGCUCACCCGUGGAACUGCUGGGCAUACUGGCGAUCUUGGGCCAACUAGGGGCAACUGGAACAAGCGGUGGAGCGGUGAAAUGCGUAGAUAUCGCUUGGAACGCCAAAGGUGAAAACAGGUUGCUGGGGUUGUGCCGACGCUGAGACACGAAAGCCAGGGGAGCAAACGGGAUUAGAUACCCCGGUAGUCCUGGCCCUAAACGAUGUCCACUAGAUUGCGGCGGGUUUGACCCCGUCGCGGUCGAAGCAAAAGUGUUAAGUGGACCGCCUGGGAAGUACGGUCGCAAGGCUA
rnacentral:rRNA from 1 species